rnacentral:rRNA from 1 species
CCCCGCAAGGGGAGCGGCGAACGGGUGAGUAACACGUAAGGAAUCUGCCCUGAAGCGGGGAAUAACUAUCCCAACGGAUAGCUAAUACCGCAUAAUGAUGGGGACGGCAUCGUCCCUUCUCAAAAGGCUUCGGCCACUUCAGGAUGACCUUGCGUCCCAUUAGCUUGUUGGCGGUGUAACGGACCACCAAGGCGACGAUGGGUAUCCGGCCUGAGAGGGUGUACGGACACAUUGGGACUGAGAUACGGCCCAGACUCCUACGGGAGGCAGCAGUAGGGAAUUUUGCGCAAUGGAGGAAACUCUGACGCAGCAACGCCAUGUGUGGGAUGAAGCAUUUCGGUGUGUAAACCACUGUCAGCAGGGAAUAAAAGGCCUUUUAGGCAUUUGAAUGUACCUGCGAAGGAAGCCCCGGCUAACUUCGUGCCAGCAGCCGCGGUAAUACGAGGGGGGCAAAUGUUGUUCGGAAUCACUGGGCGUAAAGGGAGCGUAGGCGGGUUCUUAAGUUAGGUGUUUAAUCCCGGGGCCCAACCCCGGACCGGCACUUAAAACUGGGAAUCUUGAAUAGUGGAGAGGUCAGUGGAAUUGGGGGUGUAGCGGUGGAAUGCGUAGAGAUCCCCAAGAACACCAGUUGCGAAGGCGGCUGACUGGACACAUAUUGACGCUGAGGCUCGAAAGCUGGGGAGCAAACAGGAUUAGAUACCCUGGUAUCCAUGCCAUAAACGAUGAUUACUAGGUUUUGGGGCCCGUCACGGUUCCAGAG